GAUGAACGCUAGCGAUAGGCCUAACACAUGCAAGUCGAGGGGCAGCACAUGAGUAGCAAUACGAUGGCGGCGACCGGCGCACGGGUGAGUAACACGUAUGCAACCUACCUUUAACAGGGGAAUAACCCGUUGAAAGACGGACUAAUACUCCAUAACACAGGGGUCCCGCAUGGGAAUAUUUGUUAAAGAUUUAUCGGUUGAAGAUGGGCAUGCGUUCCAUUAGCUUGUUGGUGAGGUAACGGCUCACCAAGGCCACGAUGGAUAGGGGAACUGAGAGGUUUAUCCCCCACACUGGAACUGAGACACGGUCCAGACUCCUACGGGAGGCAGCAGUGAGGAAUAUUGGUCAAUGGAGGCAACUCUGAACCAGCCAAGUCGCGUGAAGGAUGAAGGUCUUAUGGAUUGUAAACUUCUUUUGCAAGGGAAUAAAGUGGGGGACGUGUCCUCCUUUGCAUGUACCUUGCGAAUAAGGAUCGGCUAACUCCGUGCCAGCAGCCGCAGUAA
rnacentral:rRNA from 1 species